UACGUAGGGGGCAAGCGUUGUCCGGAAUCAUUGGGCGUAAAGAGCGCGUAGGCGGCCCUGUAAGUCCGCUGUGAAAGUCAAGGGCUCAACCCUUGGAUGCCGGUGGAUACUGCAGGGCUAGAGUCCGGAAGGGGCGAGUGGAAUUCCUGGUGUAGCGGUGAAAUGCGCAGAUAUCAGGAGGAACACCGAUGGCGAAGGCAGGUCUCUGGGCUGUAACUGACGCUGAGGAGCGAAAGCAUGGGGAGCGAACAGG
rnacentral:rRNA from 1 species